AUGGACCAACCACGCAAGUCCAUUCUUGCAAUCCAUCUGUGGCGAGGGUUCAUGACAGACAAGCCAAUAGAUUUGGGGGUCCACUUCCCGGUGAAACAAAUGUUCAUUGCGGACAAUACGAAGACAAUGAUUGGUACAAUGAGGCUGCAAGGUUGCACCUUGGAGUUCAAAAUUUGGUGUCUUCGCAUUGAAGGAUCCAAUCCAUCGACUUUGGAGUUUGAACAUGUCACUUGUGAUGGGGAGAGGAAGAGAUGA
rnacentral:rRNA from 1 species